rnacentral:autocatalytically_spliced_intron from 1 species
ACCCGCCAGGUUACGUACAGAAACCACAUAGAGGCCGAUGACUCGCGGUGAGUGGGCAUGUGACCACGAAACCGAACCGGAAGAGUGAGCAUAGGUAGAUGUGGCACUUGGGCGGGGACA